rnacentral:misc_RNA from 1 species
GAUGAAGAACGUAGCGAAAUGCGAUAAGUAAUGUGAAUUGCAGAAUUCAGUGAAUCAUCGAAUCUUUGAACGCACAUUGCGCCCGCCAGUAUUCUGGCGGGCAUGCCUGUUCGAGCGUCAUUACAACCCUCAGGCCCCCGGGCCUGGCGUUGGGGAUCGGCGGAAGCCCCCUGCGGGCACAACGCCGUCCCCCAAAUACAGUGGCGGUCCCGCCGCAGCUUCCAUUGCGUAGUAGCUAACACCUCGCAACUGGAGAGCGGCGCGGCCACGCCGUAAAACACCCAACUUAUGAAUGUUGACCUCGAAUCAGGUAGGAAUACCCGCUGAACUUAAGCAUAUCAAUAAGCGGAGGA